rnacentral:rRNA from 1 species
UAGUCCACGCAGUAAACGAUGAGUGCUAGAUGUUAGAACUAUGUUUUAGCGUCGAAGCUAACGCAUUAAGCACUCCGCCUGGGAACUACGAUCGCAAGGUUAAAACUCAAAGGAAUUGACGGGGACCCGCACAAGCGGUGGAACAUGUGGUUUAAUUCGAUGCUACGCGAAAAACCUUACCAAGUCUUGACAUGUUAGUCGUAUGAUUAGGAAACUAGUCAGUCAGUUCGGCUGGACUAUCACAGGUGUUGCAUGGCUGUCGUCAGCUCGUGUCGUGAGAUGUUGGGUUAAGUCCCGCAACGAGCGCAACCCUUAUCUUUAAUUGCCAACAGGUUAUGCUGGGAACUUUAAAGAGACUGCCGGUGACAAACCGGAGGAAGGUAAGGAUGACGUCAAGUCAGCAUGCCCCUUAUGCUCUGGGCUACACACGUGCUACAAUGGCCGUGACAAAGAGUUGCUACUUUGUGAAAACAAGCUAAUCUCAUAAACGCGGCCUCAGUUCGGAUUG